rnacentral:rRNA from 1 species
CCAGCCCGCUCAGAAACUUAAAUGAAUUGACGGGGCCCGCACAAGCGGUGGAGCAUGUGGUUUAAUCGAUGAUACGCGAGGAACCUUACCUGGGCUCAAAUGUAUGUUGACGUAUUCUGAAAGGGAUACUUCUUCGGACAAUAUACAAGGUGCUGCAUGGUUGUCGUCAGCUCGUGCCGUGAGGUGUCGGGUUAAGUCCCAUAACGAGCGCAACCCCUAUCAUUAGUUGCCAUCAGGUCAAGCUGGGGACUCUAAUGAAACUGCCUACGCAAGUAGUGAGGAAGGUGGGGAUGACGUCAAAUCAGCACGGCCCUUACGUCCAGGGCUACACACGUGCUACAAUGGCCGGUACAAAGGGCAGCUACCUGGUGACAGGAUGCUAAUCUCAAAAGCCGGUCUCAGUUCGGAUCGGAGUCUGCAACCCGACUCCGUGAAGCUGGAAUCGCUAGUAAUCGCGCAUCAGCCAUGGCGCGGUGAAUACGUUCCCGGGCCUU